rnacentral:rRNA from 1 species
GACGAACGCUGGCGGCGUGCUUAACACAUGCAAGUCGAGCGGUAAGGCCCUUUCGGGGGUACACGAGCGGCGAACGGGUGAGUAACACGUGGGUGACCUGCCCUCAGCUCUGGGAUAAGCCUGGGAAACUGGGUCUAAUACUGGAUAUGACUCCACGGUGCAUGUCGUGGGGUGGAAAGCCUUGUGCGGCUGAGGAUGGGCCCGCGGCCUAUCAGCUUGUUGGGUGGGGUGANGGCCUACCAAGGCGACGACGGGUAGCCGGCCUGAGAGGGCGACCGGCCACACUGGGACUGAGACACGGCCCAGACUCCUACGGGAGGCAGCAGUGGGGAAUCUUGCGCAAUGGGCGAAAGCCUGACGCAGCGACGCCGCGUGAGGGAUGACGGCCUCGGUUGUAA